AUGAACGCUGGCGGCGUGCCUCAUACAUGCAAGUCGAGCGCACGGACGAGAAGCUUGCUUCUCUGAUGUUAGCGGCGGACGGGUGAGUAACACGUGGAUAACCUACCUAUAAGACUGGGAUAACUUCGGGAAACCGGAGCUAAUACCGGAUAAUAUUUUGAACCGCAUGGUUCAAAAGUGAAAGACGGUCUUGCUGUCACUUAUAGAUGGAUCCGCGCUGCAUUAGCUAGUUGGUAAGGUAACGGCUUACCAAGGCAACGAUGCAUAGCCGACCUGAGAGGGUGAUCGGCCACACUGGAAUUGAGACACGGUCCAGACUCCUACGGGAGGCAGCAGUAGGGAAUCUUCCGCAAUGGGCGAAAGCCUGACGGAGCAACGCCGCGUGAGUGAUGAAGGUCUUCGGAUCGUAAAACUCUGUUAUUAGGGAAGAACAUAUGUGUAAGUAACUGUGCACAUCUUGACGGUACCUAAUCAGAAAGCCACGGCUAACUACGUG
rnacentral:rRNA from 1 species